UAUAAUGUUUUGUUUCGUCUUAUUUGAUUUUUUUUGUGAUUAAUAUUUUUAUUCUUACUAGAUGAUAAAACAUAAAUAAUGCUUUAUGCAUGACUAAUUUUUUAAAGUUUUUUUACAAAAUUUUUAAAUAAAAUGAAUGGUCAAACGUUGAACACGGAAAAAC
rnacentral:pre_miRNA from 1 species